rnacentral:rRNA from 1 species
CCUUCGGGUGGAAGAUGAGAUAACUUAGUGGCGGACGGGUGAGUAACACGUGAGCAACCUGCCUAUCAGAGGGGGAUAACGUUCUGAAAAGAACGCUAAUACCGCAUAACGUGCGAGGGAGACAUCUCUCUUGUACCAAAGGAGCAAUCCGCUGAUAGAUGGGCUCGCGUCCGAUUAGGUAGUUGGUAGGGUAACGGCCUACCAAGCCGACGAUCAGUAGCCGGACUGAGAGGUUGAACGGCCACAUUGGGACUGAGAUACGGCCCAGACUCC